rnacentral:rRNA from 1 species
UAGUUGCCAUCAGGUAAAGCUGGGAACGUCUGGGGAGGACUGCCGGUGAUAAACCGGAGGAAGGCGGGGAUGACGUCAAGUCCUCAUGGCCCUUACAUCCCGGGCUACACACGUGCUACAAUGGCAGGUACAGAGGGCUGCGAAGCCGCGAGGUGGAGCGAAUCCCAGAAAACCUGUCUCAGUCCGGAUUGAAGUCUGCAACUCGACUUCAUGGAGGCGGAAUCGCUAGUAACCGCGAAUCAGCAGGUCGCGGUGAAUACGUUCCCGGGCCUU